AAGUUCUUGAAAUCUAGGGAAAAUAACUUAGAUUUUAUACACCUUCCCAGAUUCUCUAGUGACAACUGUUUGAGUACAGAGAAGAAUGCCAUGAAAGGAGGGAGAUGCUUUCAAAAGAGCACUGUCAAGCCUGAGGAGGAAAAACAAGGAUAAGGAGAAAGGACUAAAAGGAGAAACCAUGUUUUGUUCCCUCUUGUGCAAGAGGAAAUAAAGGAAGAAAGGAGGGCAAACUUUUGGUUAACCUCUACAAAACUGGUCGAUACAAACAAAACAGCUAAGUUUCUGCAGACAACUUACUAACCCUUCAGUUCUAAAUCCCACAAUACUAUGGUGACAGUUGACAGAAGCCAUGUCUCCUUAAAUACUUGGGAAGAACAACCCUGAAGUGCUGCAAAUAUCCUUCUUAUGCUGUGUGGUGGACAAAAUGGCACGUUUGAAAGUUCAGAGGCUCCUUGAGAG